rnacentral:ribozyme from 1 species
AGUUGUGAGGUGCUUUGUUGUAGACUCACACAGAAAAAAAAAAAAACUUGUUUUCUUCAUCAUUAUUUUGAACCCUUUUUUUUGAAAUUCUUGAUUAAACAUGCCAAACACGAGUCACACGAUUGUUUCGUUUCUUUCCACG